GUCGACGGUGAAGCCAAGCUUGCUUGGUGGAUCAGUGGCGAACGGGUGAGUAACACGUGAGCAACCUGCCCUGGACUCUGGGAUAAGCGCUGGAAACGGCGUCUAAUACUGGAUAUGAGGCGUGAUCGCAUGGUCAACGUCUGGAAAGAUUUUUCGGUCUGGGAUGGGCUCGCGGCCUAUCAGCUUGUUGGUGAGGUAAUGGCUCACCAAGGCGUCGACGGGUAGCCGGCCUGAGAGGGUGACCGGCCACACUGGGACUGAGACACGGCCCAGACUCCUACGGGAGGCAGCAGUGGGGAAUAUUGCACAAUGGGCGGAAGCCUGAUGCAGCAACGCCGCGUGAGGGAUGACGGCCUUCGGGUUGUAAACCUCUUUUAGCAGGGAAGAAGCGAAAGUGACGGUACCUGCAGAAAAAGCGCCGGCUAACUACGUGCCAGCAGCCGCGGUAAUACGUAGGGCGCAAGCGUUAUCCGGAAUUAUUGGGCGUAAAGAGCUCGUAGGCGGUUUGUCGCGUCUGCUGUGAAAUCCCGAGGCUCAACCUCGGGCCUGCAGUGGGUACGGGCAGACUAGAGUGCGGUAGGGGAGAUUGGAAUUCCUGGUGUAGCGGUGGAAUGCGCAGAUAUCAGGAGGAACACCGAUGGCGAAGGCAGAUCUCUGGGCCGUAACUGACGCUGAGGAGCGAAAGGGUGGGGAGCAAACAGGCUUAGAUACCCUGGUAGUCCACCCCGUAAACGUUGGGAACUAGUUGUGGGGACCAUUCCACGGUUUCCGUGACGCAGCUAACGCAUUAAGUUCCCCGCCUGGGGAGUACGGCCGCAAGGCUAAAACUCAAAGGAAUUGACGGGGACCCGCACAAGCGGCGGAGCAUGCGGAUUAAUUCGAUGCAACGCGAAGAACCUUACCAAGGCUUGACAUACACCAGAACGGGCCAGAAAUGGUCAACUCUUUGGACACUGGUGAACAGGUGGUGCAUGGUUGUCGUCAGCUCGUGUCGUGAGAUGUUGGGUUAAGUCCCGCAACGAGCGCAACCCUCGUUCUAUGUUGCCAGCACGUAAUGGUGGGAACUCAUGGGAUACUGCCGGGGUCAA
rnacentral:rRNA from 1 species